rnacentral:rRNA from 1 species
UACGGAAGGCAGCAGUGGGGAAUAUUGCACAAUGGGCGCAAGCCUGAUGCAGCCAUGCCGCGUGUAUGAAAAAGGCCUUCGGGUUGUAAAGUACUUUCAGUCGUGAGGAAGGUGUUAAGGUUAAUAACCUUAGCAAUUGACGUUAGCGACAGAAGAAGCACCGGCUAACUCCGUGCCAGCAGCCGCGGUAAUACGGAGGGUGCGAGCGUUAAUCGGAAUUACUGGGCGUAAAGGGCACGCAGGCGGUUAAUUAAGUUGGAUGUGAAAUCCCCGGGCUUAACCUGGGAAUGGCAUUCAAGACUGGUUAGCUAGAGUCUUGUAGAGGGGGUUAGAAUUCCAUGUGUAGCGGUGAAAUGCGUAGAGAUGUGGAGGAAUACCGGUGGCGAAGGCGGCCCCUGGACAAAGACUGACGCUCAUGUGCGAAAGCGUGGGGAGCGAAACAGGGAUUAGAUACCCG